rnacentral:tRNA from 1 species
GCCCGGGUGGCGGAAUGGUAGACGCACAGGGCUUAAAACCCUGAGGGGGCCUAAAGAUCCCCGUGCCGGUUCGAGUCCGGCCCCGGGUA